GAUGAACGCUGGCGGCGUGCCUAAUACAUGCAAGUCGAGCGAACGGACGAGAAGCUUGCUUUUCUGAUGUUAGCGGCGGACGGGUGAGUAACACGUGGAUAACCUACCUAUAAGACUGGGAUAACUUCGGGAAACCGGAGCUAAUACCGGAUAAUAUUUUGAAGCGCAUGGUUCAAAAGUGAAAGACGGUCUUGCUGUCACUUAUAGAUGGAUCCGCGCUGCAUUAGCUAGUUGGUAAGGUAACGGCUUACCAAGGCAACGGUGCAUAGCCGACCUGAGAGGGUGAUCAGCCGCACGGGGACGGGGACACGCUCCAGAGUGCUAAGGGAGGCACCAGUAGGGAAUCUUCCGCAAUGAGCGGAAGCCUGGCGGAGCAACGCCGCGUGAGUGUUGAACAUCUUCGGAUCGUGAAACUCUGUUAUUAGGGAAGAACAUAUGUGUGAGUGUCUGUGCACAUCUUGACGGUACCUAAUGAGAAAGCCACGGCUAACUACGUG
rnacentral:rRNA from 1 species